rnacentral:other from 1 species
CAGAGGCUGCCCCGCACGCCAGAAUAUCAAACCCAGGGGCCUUAAAUCACCCUAAGGGAGCUGUCCCUGCACCGGAUCCUGGUCUGGCGCAUCACGGCACCCACCUGCAUGAGCAGGCGCCCGGGGGUUGUAUCAUUCAGCGGCGCGGGCGGCUUCACG